GACGAACGCUGGCGGCGUGCUUAACACAUGCAAGUCGAGCGGAAAGGCUCCUUCGGGGGUACCCGAGCGGCGAACGGGUGAGUAACACGUGAGUAAUCUGCCCUGCGCUCUGGGAUAGCCACCGGAAACGGUGAUUAAUACCGGAUAUGAACGCUACACGCAUGUGUUGGUGGUGGAAAGUUUUUCGGCUCAGGAUGUGCUUGCGGUCUAUCAGCUUGUUGGUGAGGUAAUGGCUCACCAAGGCUUAGACGGGUAGCCGGCCUGAGAGGGUGACCGGUCACACUGGGACUGAGACACGGCCCAGACUCCUACGGGAGGCAGCAGUGGGGAAUAUUGGACAAUGGGCGGAAGCCUGAUCCAGCAACGCCGCGUGAGGGAUGACAGCCUUCGGGUUGUAAACCUCUUUCAGUACCGACGAAGCGAAAGUGACGGUAGGUACAGAAGAAGGACCGGCCAACUACGUGCCAGCAGCCGCAGUAACAC
rnacentral:rRNA from 1 species